ensembl:lncRNA
UUCUAUUUUCCGUACAGUCCUUUCCUGCUCUACUAUGUUGUGGCUGUGGUUCAGUGGAAAGGGUAUUCAUUUCGGAGUAAGAAGAACUGGGAUCAAAUCGCACCUCUGAUGCCUGUUGCUCCUGUGACCCUGGACAAAUUCUGGACCUCCACAGUUCCAGACCAGCAGAAGAAGAUCAAAAAGUGCUGAUAACUUUGAGACAACAUGGAUAUGCUAACUUUGAAGUUUUACCCGACAACUUUGAGAUGAUUUGGAUUUAUUAAUGAAUUAACUCCUACGAAGCACAGAGGAGCAGUCUGCAUUUGCUGCAUUUGGUGUGAAAGGUUUCCCCCUGGGGAAUUCCUUGAGGGUACAGUGGCCAGUUUCUUGGCAUUUAAGUCCCUACAUUUUUCUUCCAAAGGCCCCAGCUUCUUCUCUGCCUGGUGUUCCUGGAGCAAUCAGCAAGUGGAGCUUCCUGUUCUGGCUUCAGAAAAAUGCCAGAGACCAGCAGCUGGUGAUAGACCCUCAAAUCAACCUUUAAAGACAAAUGUAGAAGAGACCAUAAACAGAGGGUCUGGGGAGAGAGACCCCCCACAGCCAAUAUUCUGGAGAGGGGAUGAAGAAGGGGACAAACCUGAAGUGCUGAAGACUCUGGAUUUACCAACAUGGCUCAGCUGCCUUCUUGUCCUAGAGUAUUUCUGUCAUGCUGGUUCCUUUCUCCCACUGGAGACUAAUCUUCCAACAGAGAAGGAGAGAACAAAAUUGGCUAAUGGAAUUAAAAUUAAAGAUAAAUGAAAAAGUAGUAAGAGACCACCUCAGUGCUCUCAAUGAAUUCAAGUCAGUACGUCAAUAUGAACUACAUUCAAUUGUACAAAUAAACAAAACACCCAAACAAACA